rnacentral:lncRNA from 1 species
GUGUCUUCUAUUAAUUUUCAUUUCAUUACAUUUUAUUUUUUUCUUUCUUAUUUUAAAUCACAUAAAUUUUUAUAAAAUAAUAUUGUACGUAAAUUAAUUUUAAUUUUAAUUUUAUUUUUUUAGCCACUCAUUUAAAAAAAAAAAACACUAUUUCACCAAUAUUUAUUUCUACAAAAUGGGGCAAACCGGGGGCUAAAUUUUGCUUCGAUUGUAUUAAAAGCUUCAAAGGUCCACCGCUAUACUAUCAUCUCUUAUCUCCUCAACUACCUCCAUCAACCGCGAGAUGGAAGCGACGCCGCUGCUUGAUCGGAGCUCCGACAACAAGGUACAGGUCAUCGGAGAGAACGGUGACUACCUGCCGAUAAGGGGGCUUAGUGCAUGGUGGAGUGUUUUCUGUAUAGAGACAGUGAAGCUAUGGAGAAUAGGCGGCCCCAUAGUGUUUCAAGUUCUUUGUCAGUAUGGAACUUACUCCGUCACCAACAUGUUUGUUGGCCAUCUUGGAGAUAUCGAACUCUCUGCCUUUUCCAUCACUCUUUCCGUUAUCUGCACCUUCUCUUUUGGCCUCCUGGUUAGCCCCUUCACACCACCGCCACCGCCACCACCACCGCCACCUAUUAUAUCUCAAUUUUGGUUUUAAAUUAAAAAAUUACGAAUAAUUUAUUUGUCAUUGACGAAUGUCCGUCUACAUACUUAAUAAUUUUUCACAUUAAAUGCACGAAAUCUGGGUGGUUCAUUUUCUAUCAUUAUAUUAGUCUUUGGAUUGGGUAGCAUAAUAGUCAGAUUUAUCGCUCCAGCUAGCUAGACAUGUUGCUAGAAAAAUGAUUGUUGGCAAUGAAUUUGAAAUAAAUUCCGUAACUGCGUUGGCAGAUACAUUAUGAAACUUUAAUGCCAUUUAGCCCCACUUGGUUUGCUAUCCCAGUUCAAGCAGCUUUAAUUAAAUGACUCAUUUAAUUUUACUUUUCCUUUAGCCUUAUCUUCUAGCACUACUUAGACUGGAUUGCAACCUCAAUGGCUACAUAGCAUUACUCUUCUUGAAAACUGAUAUUCUUUAAGAUACAAGUCUGAAAGGAUUUUGUAUAAGUUCCUUGUAAUUGUGUAAUCUGUUUUAUUUAAGAUACGUACAAGUCUAACUAAUUAGUCUAGUUCAUCCUAAAUAAUCUUGAAGCCGAAGAUCUGAUUAAAAAAACGUUUCAAACCCCUUAAAUGAAACAAUUCAAGUUUUCUGAAUUUGUUCUUGUGACAUAGACAAUACAUUUCGUAGGAUUCAAGACUACUACUACCAAUUUACUGUUUACACAUUAUGUAGGAUCCACAAUUUAUAAUCACUUAGAUCUAAUUUGAGCACUCCCAAGUAUGGUUAAACAGCGAUCUAAUAUGACUUCACAAAUGGCACCUUAUUUUGCUAUGUCUAGUUCGGUAUGGGGAGUGCCCUUGAGACGCUAUGCGGUCAGGCAUUUGGUGCUGGACAAAUUCACAUGCUUGGUAUUUACAUGCAACGCUCGAUAGUGAUCCUAACCAUCACUUGUGUCGUCCUGUUGCCACUAUACUUGUUUGCGACCCCAAUUCUGAAGCUACUUGGACAGGAGGAUGAUAUAGCAAAUCUUGCAGGGGUAUAUACGCUUCAGGUUAUCCCUCAAUUAUUUUCCCUUGCCAUCAGUUUCCCGGCUCAGAAGUUUCUUCAAGCCCAGAGUAAAGUUGCCGCUCUUGCGUGGAUAUCAUUUUCUGUAUUGGCUGCACAAGUUUUUCUAUGUUGGCUUUUUAUUCAAGCAUUUGGCUGGGGAGGAGCUGGUGCGGCUGCAGCAUUGGACCUUGCGAGUUGGCUUAUGGCCUUAGCACAAUUUGGUUAUGUGGUUGGUUGGUGCAAGGAUGGUUGGAAGGGAUUCUCAUGGUUCGCAUUUAGGGAUUUAUGGGCCUUCGUGAGACUCUCCCUUGAAUCUGCCGUCAUGCUAUGCCUCGAGGUGUGGUAUAUGAUGAGCAUCGUUGUACUUGCUGGACAUCUUGGCAAUGCCGUAACUGCAGUUGGUUCCCUUUCUAUUUGGUGAGCUUAAAUCAUAUUUUACAUCCUUCUAUAUAUCGUAGUGAUUUAAAAAUUGUGGAUUUCAUAUUUUGUGAGCUUUGUAAAAUGAGCUAUCAAUUUAAGUUAUUCAUCACUUUGAUAGCUUAUUUAUCAUUAAUAAUUCAAGGCAUAUAAAUCUACGAGAUCUAUCAUUGUUAUUUGACAAGUCACUUGAAUUUGUACUAAUCAUUUACCAUUUCAUCGUUUGUGAAAUUGUAAUCUUAUGUACUCCAAGCCUUAUCUUUUGUAUUAUCAUUUUCUUUUAAGAUGCUAAUAUUUUCUUUUGGUCAGCACGAGCAUUAAUGGGUGGGAAUCCAUGGCAUUCAUGGGAGUUAAUGCNGCUAUAAGGUAAAAGGCCAAAUGACGCUUAUCGAUACUUUUUUUACUUUGUUUUAAAUAAGCUAGAUUAUAACUUGAAUCGAAUGCAGUCGUCUUCUAGUAAUUUCCAUCCAUCGCCCUGUGCAUCUAUAUUGCCAGCACACAGAUACAUUUUUCACUUAAGAACAAUUUCUUCGAAAAAACAUUGUGCCCGGGAAAUGUUGUAUGUCCAAAUUAAUGGAACCUUAUGGAAAAUCGAAUUCAGCGUGCUUAAUGAAAAUUCAUUAAUAUUUCUUGGUCCUAAUUGAUUGAAGUAUCCAGGCAGGUUAGAGGACUAUUUGUGUUUAUCACGUUCAUAUGGUCAAAUGAUAUCUGUUAGUGAAUAGCUCUGCUUUUAACACUAGUUUGAUAAGUGAUUACAUAGCAUGAACUGCGAUUUAAGGUUAUCUUCCAACACAAAUUCAACUCAAAUGCUCCUCAUAAUAAAUUGCUGGAGGGUUCAUAAGUUUUAGAUCAUUCUAUUGUUUAUCGGGUUGCCAUAAGGGUUAAUGUUUUAUUUUUUUAUUACUAUUAUUAUUUUUUUAAAUUACUAGCCAUAUCAAUUUCAUGGUUCCAAUCUUUUAUGUUCCAGUGUUCGUGUCUCAAAUGAGCUUGGCUUAGGACGUCCAAGAGCAACCAAAUAUUGUGUCUAUGUCACAGUCUUUCAGUCACUCCUGAUUGGGAUUAUUUGCAUGAUUAUCGUCCUCGCUACAAGAAAUUAUUUAGGUCUUAUUUAUACAAAUAGCGAGAAUUUGAUACGUGCAGUUGCUCACCUUUCCGGCCUUCUUGGAAUUACAAUGCUUCUCAAUAGUGUCCAACCCGUGAUAUCAGGUACUGGUUAUUCGAUUUAAGUAUUUGUCUAUGCAAAUCAAAAUGGCUUUUUCAUCAUGUUUCCUUGAUCUUCCGGCUUAAUUAUGCAGGUGUUGCCAUUGGAGGUGGGUGGCAAGCUCUAGUGGCUUACAUCAAUUUGGGUUGUUACUACAUUUUUGGUCUUCCCCUCGGUUAUGUUCUUGGCUAUGUCGGUAAUUUUGGAGUGAUGGUAAGUAAAUUUUUACUUGAACCUCCAUAUUAUGCGAAUUUGCAUUUUAAACGAUUCUGGAUAUAAUUAGAACAAGAUAAUAGUGGCCUGAUUCUAUAAAAGCAUAACUUUUCCUCCGAAUCCAGCCUGUCAUCAAUCAUAAACUAACAGCCGGAACACCCCCUCAUCAAAAAAAUAAAUAAAUCUUAUUUAGUCUCCUACGUCAAAUUUCAACUUCAUUUAUAUUUGAAUUCUUUUUUGAGGAAAAUGCUGGAGUAACCGAAAUUUUUUUACUGAAGGGAUGACACUAUCUCACAUGCUGUUGGUCCCACAUAAAUUAAAAAAAUAAUUUCCACCCCUGUUCUUUCAUGGCCUCUGUCGGGCCAUAUGUUAGUGUAGAAAAGUCCAAUGAUUUAGUUUUCUUUAUAGGGACUCUGGGGUGGCAUGAUAGCCGGAGUAGGUUUGCAGACGCUGUUGCUCUUACUGGUACUGUACAAAACCAACUGGAACACGGAGGUUCGUAUUAAUGGUUUCUCUACAUUGCUCAUUUGUAGGAUGUGUACGGAUUUUAAGUGGCUUUUUGUAACGUGUUGGAUAAUUUUCUUUUUUAUAACUUAUAAGGUAAAAAAGGUCCCUCAACCUUACUGUUUGGAUAAACUUCUCUCAUUUCCAAUCGAUUAAAGUUGUUUUAAAACUUAAAAGUAAUACUUAACCAAAAAAACUCCUAAUACGUCGAGUAAAUGUUUCUUUUACUUGUCGAUGAUGAUGUUUAAAUUUGUAUGUGCGCACUCCUGGCAUGAUUUUCCAUUAUAGGAAGAUUUCUUUCAUGGGUUAUUUUGCAAUUCUUAGUUUCGUAGUUCCAUUUUGAUCAAUGUAUUAUCUUACCAACUACAAAUUGCAGGUUGAGCAAACAUCAGAGCGUAUGCGAAAGUGGGGAGGGCAAGACGUAAUUGACAAAUCACAUACUGACCAACUUCCUUCAAAAAAUGGAAUUCCUUAAUUGCACGCUUGGUCGCAUCACUGGCUAUGAUAUGACCAUAUAAUAAAUAAAGAUUUUUUUACUCCAACACAACGAUGCUUGAUGUUUUAAGAGAUUGGUUGCUCGUAUGUUUAAAUUUCGUUAUUGUAAUUUUGUGCUCAUUAGCCUGUGUUUCAUUUUCGAUUAUUUUAAGAAAGGUGAUUUUUUUUGGCAAGCAAAAGUGGUGAUUAAAAUGAAUAAAAUAAAUGUGGGUGACAGAUUAAUAAUGUCUUAAUGGU